rnacentral:rRNA from 1 species
AAAUUGAAGAGUUUGAUCAUGGCUCAGAUUGAACGCUGGCGGCAGGCCUAACACAUGCAAGUCGAACGGUAACAGGAAACAGCUUGCUGUUUCGCUGACGAGUGGCGGACGGGUGAGUAAUGUCUGGGAAACUGCCUGAUGGAGGGGGAUAACUACUGGAAACGGUAGCUAAUACCGCAUAACGUCGCAAGACCAAAGAGGGGGACCUUCGGGCCUCUUGCCAUCGGAUGUGCCCAGAUGGGAUUAGCUAGUAGGUGGGGUAACGGCUCACCUAGGCGACGAUCCCUAGCUGGUCUGAGAGGAUGACCAGCCACACUGGAACUGAGACACGGUCCAGACUCCUACGGGAGGCAGCAGUGGGGAAUAUUGCACAAUGGGCGCAAGCCUGAUGCAGCCAUGCCGCGUGUAUGAAGAAGGCCUUCGGGUUGUAAAGUACUUUCAGCGGGGAGGAAGGGAGUAAAGUUAAUACCUUUACU